ensembl:antisense Gm14091 predicted gene 14091
UAAGAGCUGCUCCAUUUCCUCUAGGAUUAUUGUGAAGUCACUGGCUUCGUCUUUACAUAAGGUCUGCUGUUCCAGGAACUGGACACUCUCCUCUUCUUUCAGCUUCAACUUCACCUUCAAGGCCUGAAAGGGAAAUCAUCCCAGAGGGAAACCCAUAACACAACUCUUACAACAAAGACAGCACCCGGACCAGACCGUUAUACCCAUGCUACAUAGAGGGGGGCGACCCCAGUACCAGACAGCAUCUUAUUUCCCACCUUAAAAUUUAUCUGUGCUGGCUCGGGGAAUUUCCCUACUCUGUAUUUAAACUGGAACAAUGAAACCGUUUGUGUCUCCUGCCCCACCAUUUGUCUGGCAAUCGGAAGGCGUCCAAGAAUCUCACCAUGUGGACCAGGCUUCAAACGUACGCAGACCCCUGCUGCCUCUGUAAUAGAAGGGAUCAAAUUCAGACAGCAACGCUUGUACGGCAAGGACCUUAAUCCACCGACCAGCCAUCUUAAGCCUCUGACCACCCUCCCCCUCCAUCCUAAAACAUUAAAAAAAAAAUUCUAAUGUGCAUGUGAAGACAUGUGUGCAUGCACUGUGAGAUGUGUGUGGAGGCCAGAGGGCAACUUGGGGAACUGGGUUUUUCCUUCCAUCACACCGGUUCUGGGAUCAAACUUGUUUGUGAGACUUGCAACAAGGACUUUUACCUACUGAGCCAUCUCAACAGCUUUCUACUAUUAAAAAAAAAAAAAAAAAAAAAAUUACUUGUAGGGAAGGGGAGAAUUUAUACCACUCUGUGGAGGUCAGAGGACAAAGUGAAGGACCCAGUCCAGGUCAUCAGGCUUGGUGACAAGACCCUUUACCUGCUCCUCCAUCUCAAAUG